rnacentral:rRNA from 1 species
UACAGAGGUGGCAAGCGUUGUUCGGAAUUACUGGGCGUAAAGGGCGCGUAGGCGGUCUUUUAAGUUCCGUGUGAAAUCCCUCGGCUCAACUGGGGAACGGCACGGGAAACUGGAAGGCUUGAGUUCGGGGAGAGGGAAGCGGAAUUCCGGGUGUAGCGGUGGAAAUGCGUAGAUAUCCGGAGGAACACCGGUGGCGAAGGCGG